GACGAACGCUGGCGGCGUGCUUAACACAUGCCAGUCGAACGGAAAGGCCCUUCGGGGUACUCGAGUGGCGAACGGGUGAGUAACACGUGGGUGAUCUGCCCUGCACUUUGGGAUAAGCCUGGGAAACUGGGUCUAGUACCGAAUAGGACCACGCGCUUCAUGGUGUGUGGUGGAAAGCUUUUGCGGUGUGGGAUGGGCCCGCGGCCUAUCAGCUUGUUGGUGGGGUAAUGGCCUACCAAGGCGACGACGGGUAGCCGGCCUGAGAGGGUGACCGGCCACACUGGGACUGAGAUACGGCCCAGACUCCUACGGGAGGCAGCAGUGGGGAAUAUUGCACAAUGGGCGCAAGCCUGAUGCAGCGACGCCGCGUGAGGGAUGACGGCCUUCGGGUUGUAAACCUCUUUCAAUAGGGACGAAGCGCAAGUGACGGUACCUAUAGAAGAAGCACCGGCCAACUACGUG
rnacentral:rRNA from 1 species